rnacentral:rRNA from 1 species
UAACGCGUGAGGAACCUGCCUUUCGGAGGGGGACAACAGUUGGAAACGACUGCUAAUACCGCAUGAUACAUUUGGAUCGCAUGGUCUGAAUGUCAAAGAUUUAUCGCCGAAAGAUGGCCUCGCGUCUGAUUAGCUAGUUGGUGAGGUAAUGGCCCACCAAGGCGACGAUCAGUAGCCGGACUGAGAGGUUGGCCGGCCACAUUGGGACUGAGAUACGGCCCAGACUCCUACGGAAGGCAGCAG